UACGGGGGGGGCAAGCGUUGUUCGGAAUUACUGGGCGUAAAGGGCUCGUAGGUGGCCAACUAAGUCAGACGUGAAAUCCCUCGGCUUAACCGGGGAACUGCGUCUGAUACUGGAUGGCUUGAGUUUGGGAGAGGGACGCGGAAUUCCAGGUGUAGCGGUGAAAUGCGUAGAUAUCGCUUGGAACGCCAGAGGUGAAAACAGGUUGCUGGGGAUGUUCUGACACUGAGACGCGAAAGCCAGGGGAGCGAACGGG
rnacentral:rRNA from 1 species